AGCACAGACGUAGAAGAGGCUCGUAGGGCUGAGCGCGGAAUGAGCGCGAAUGGUAAGUCGGUUCUUCGCAUACCGGGCGUUCAGGUAUAGCUUGGAAGGUGGUGUGCGAGCUAAACGAAGAGGGAAACAAGAAAUCUGUGAGGCGAGAGAAAGAGGAGGAAGUACCGGCGGAGGAGAACAGACCCGAGAUGUAGAAAGAGUAAGAAAGGAGGAACGGAGGGAAGAGAGAGAAAGAGGGAAAGGCCCGAGCAAGCGGGUAUGCGAGCUAACAGGCAGGCAAACAGGCAAGCAGGCAGAAAGGCAGGAAGGCAGGCAGGAAGGCAGGUAGGAAGGCAGGCAGGAAGGCAGGAAGGCAGGAAGGCAGGAAGGCAGGAAGACAAGAAGGCAGGAAGAUAGGCAGGCAGGCAGGCAGGCAGGCAGGCUGACAGGCAGGCAGCCAGGAGGCAGGCAGGCAAGCAAGCAAGUAAGCAAGCAAGUAAGCAAGCAAGCAAGCAAGCAAGCAAGCAAGCAAGCAAGAAAGCAAGAAAGCAAGCAAGCGAGCGAGCAGAGUUUGGUAUAGUCUAGCUGCUCGGUGCCGCGAAGCGAGCUGAAU
rnacentral:misc_RNA from 1 species